UGGCUCAAAUGGUAGAGCGCUUGCUUAGCAUGCAAGAGAUACUGGGAUCGACACCCAG
rnacentral:tRNA from 1 species